rnacentral:tRNA from 1 species
GGCUGGUUAGCUCAGUCAGUUGAGCAUAGCACUAACAAUGCCAAGGUCACGGGUUCAAUUCCCGUUCAGUCC